rnacentral:rRNA from 1 species
AGUGAACGCUGGCGGUAGGCCUAACACAUGCAAGUCGAACGGCAGCACAGUAAGAGCUUGCUCUUACGGGUGGCGAGUGGCGGACGGGUGAGGAAUACAUCGGAAUCUACUUUUUCGUGGGGGAUAACGUAGGGAAACUUACGCUAAUACCGCAUACGACCUAUGGGUGAAAGCAGGGGAUCUUCGGACCUUGCGCGAUUGAAUGAGCCGAUGUCGGAUUAGCUAGUUGGCGGGGUAAAGGCCCACCAAGGCGACGAUCCGUAGCUGGUCUGAGAGGAUGAUCAGCCACACUGGAACUGAGACACGGUCCAGACUCCUACGGGAGGCAGCAGUGGGGAAUAUUGGACAAUGGGCGCAAGCCUGAUCCAGCCAUACCGCGUGGGUGAAGAAGGCCUUCGGGUUGUAAAGCCCUUUUGUUGGGAAAGAAAAGCAGCAGGUUAAUACCCCGCUGUUCUGACGGUACCCAAAGAAUAAGCACCGGCCAACUUCGUG